ACGUGGAAUAUAUGGGAGCACUCUCUGCUAUCCUCUCAAUUUUUCUGUAAAUCUAAAACUGUUUUAAAAAAAUAAAGUCUAUUAAAAGAAAUAAGAAAAAUGGGAAAGUUAUUAAACAUCAACCAAUCUGAUUUAUCGUAACCUUAUUUGGAUCCUGAUUCACAAAAAAACAAAGAGAAAACUGGGACUCAAACCCUAGACUAAGCGUUCGAGUGAGAUUAUGUUGAUCGUCUGUGACUCUGUGGAAGUAUUUUUGUUCUUUUUUCUUAUAGUGAUUUCCCUUCUCCCAGAAGAACAUCCCUAGAGAUUAGUUGAAGCAGCAAGCCACAGUCCAGCCUUAAUCUUCCAGGAUUGGCUGAGUUACUUCACAGCAAUUCGUCUCCCUCCACUCCAAGCCCAGCCCACGGCAGUAAUUUGCAUUCUAAAGGAGGAAGUCAACUAACAGGAUUCAGAUAAGGAUGGUCAAUAGGUACUGGCUUCCCUCAGGGCCACCUCAGGCCAGGGGGUGUCUGCUCUCUAGCCCCACCUACCGGACCUUGUCUAAAUCACCUGAAUAAAUGCAACUGCCUGGCAAGACCCAAUGCCAGGCACGGAGGGGAAAGAAACAAGACUCAUCAGAUCAGGGAAUAUUGGGAUCGGAGGGAAACUUUAAGAUGAAUCUCUUCUUUAAUUGAAAGGAAAACCAAGUGUUAGAUGCAUUGGACAUUUACUACGCAUCGAGCCACUUUGACCAGAGUUCGAACCCUGCUCCUGCCACUGCGUGGUCAUGGAACUCAAUGUGUUCAGAUUGUCAAUUCAAUCCAACUUCAUUUCACUUACUUCAAUUAAGGAAUAUUUGUUAAGAAAUGACCGUGUUCCUAGUGCAAUACUAAGGAAUAUGAAGAUAAAUAAGACCCAGUACAUGCCUUCCAAGAGCCUGAACCACGUUUAGAGAAAGAAGAAACAUAUUUGAAAAGCCUCUGAUUCAGUAUUUGGACACGUGUUACUGAUCCGCGGAGAGCCCUCACGAAGGGGUGAUGACGUCUAUUAUGUAGUGAUUUUCAUGGCAACCUUGUGAACUGGUGAUUUUUACAGAUGAGGCAGCUGAGGCUCAGAUAAGGUAACUGACUGGUUCGAGAUUGCUCAGCACAGACAGACGAGAGGAUGGAGCUUGAAUCCACAUCUGCUUCCCCGAGCCCACUCUGUGCUUGGAUUUCCCCAGGGCCCCUACCCCACACCUGCCUGGCCCUGCCCACCUCUUACCUCCCAGCAUUCGAUUGUGUCUGUAUGUGAAAGCUCAGCCCUUGGUGACCCUUCCUAUUAAGGCUCCUGGAAGAAGACGGGCGUGCUGGGUCAGUUAUGAUAAUAGCUGAGGACAAUGGCAUCAGGAUUCACAUGAAGAAGGCUUUCUUUCUCCAUGACCAGCAACACCCUAGUUACGGUUUAUAUGCAACAUCUAUUUCUAGAAAGAAAACCUGAAGCGAGCCUCAGCAUUGCCACAAAUAACCGAGGUUGCUGUAAGAACACAUCUCAAUUUAUUUAUUUAUUUUUAAUUUUUUAAGAUUGGCCCUGAGCUAACAUCUGUUGCCAAUCUUUGUUUUCCUUCUUUUCCCCAAAGCCCCCCAGUACAUAGUUAUAUAUUCUAGGUGUAGGUCCUUCUGGUUCUGCUAUGUGGGACACUGCCUCAGCAUGGCUUGAUGAGCAGUGCCAUGUCCGUGCCCAGAAUCGGAAUGAGUGAAACCCCGGGCUGCCAAAGUAGAGCGAGAGAUCUUAAUCACUUGGCCACGGGGCCAGUUCCACAGCUCAAUUUAAAUUAAUAAAUCCAC
rnacentral:lncRNA from 1 species